AUGUCGUUGUCGGUCGCUCUCCCGCAACAGGGCUACUACUGCCACCAGUGCGACCACGCCAUCACCAUCGCCGCCCCCGCCUCCCGCGACGACAAAGUCUUCUGCCCGGUCUGCGCCGGGGGCUUCGUCGAGGAGCUCUUCGACGACGAGGAGCCCCCAAACCCCAUCCCUCACCACCAGCCCCACCCGUCUCCCUUCUUCCCCUUCUCCAGCUUCCUCGACCUCCGCAACCCCAGCGACCUCGCUGGUCCUCGAGCAGGUCCAGGUGCAGCAGCACACGGUGUCUCAGGCCGCGCCGGCCGCUGCGUCGGUGGCCGCGGGCGGGCAGCGUGA
rnacentral:rRNA from 1 species